rnacentral:rRNA from 1 species
GAUGAACGCUGGCGGCGUGCCUAAUACAUGCAAGUCGAGCGAACAGACGAGGAGCUUGCUCCUCUGACGUUAGCGGCGGACGGGUGAGUAACACGUGGAUAACCUACCUAUAAGACUGGGAUAACUUCGGGAAACCGGAGCUAAUACCGGAUAAUAUAUUGAACCGCAUGGUUCAAUAGUGAAAGACGGUUUUGCUGUCACUUAUAGAUGGAUCCGCGCCGCAUUAGCUAGUUGGUAAGGUAACGGCUUACCAAGGCAACGAUGCGUAGCCGACCUGAGAGGGUGAUCGGCCACACUGGAAGUGAGACACGGUCCAGCCUCCUGCGGGGGGCAGGAGGAGGGAAUCUUCCGGAAGGGGCGAAAGCCUGACGGAGAAACGCCGCGGGAGUGAUGAAGGUCUUCGGAUCGUAAAACUCUUUUUUUAGGGGAGAAAAAAUGUUUAAGUAACUAUGCACGUCUUGACGGUACCUAAGCAGAAAGCCCCGGCUAACUACGU